UACGUAGGGUGCAAGCGUUAAUCGGAAUUACUGGGCGUAAAGCGUGCGUAGGCGGUUCUGUAAGACAGGUGUGAAAUCCCCGGGCUUAACCUGGGAACUGCAUUUGUGACUGCAUAGCUAGAGUACGGUAGAGGGGGAUGGAAUUCCGCGUGUAGCAGUGAAAUGCGUAGAUAUGCGGAGGAACACCGAUGGCGAAGGCAAUCCCCUGGACCUGUACUGACGCUCAUGCACGAAAGCGUGGGGAGCAAACAGG
rnacentral:rRNA from 1 species